UUCGGNUAACUGGCAGACGGGUGCGUAACACGUGGGAACCUACCUAAAGUACGGAAUAACAGUGAGAAAAUCGCUGCUAAUACCGUAUGUGCCCUUCGGGGGAAAGAUUUAUCGCCUUUAGAUGGGCCCGCGGCAGAUUAGCUAGUUGGUGGGGUAAGAGCCUACCAAGGCUACGAUCUGUAGCUGGUCUGAGAGGAUGAUCAGCCACACUGGAACUGAGACACGGUCCAGACUCCUACGGGAGGCAGCAGUGGGGAAUAUUGGGCAAUGGGCGAAAGCCUGACCCAGCCAUGCCGCGUGAGUGAUGAAGGCCUUAGGGU
rnacentral:rRNA from 1 species